AUGGCCAUUCGAGUGUUGCUCCUUGCAGGAGCUCUCCUGGCCUUUGCAUGCUCGCAUGGCGCCACCGCCUCCGAUCCCAGCCAUCUCCAGGACUUCUGCGUCGCUGACAAGACAUCUCCAGUGCGUGUCAACGGACUGGCUUGCAAGGCCGCGAAAGAGGUCGUCGUCGAGGACUUCUACUUCUCCGGCCUCCACGUGGCGGGCAACACGACGAACAAGCAGGGCUCAGCGGUGACCGCCGUCAACGUCGCGCAGAUCGGUGGACUGAACACCAUGGGUGUCUCCCUCGUCCGCAUCGACUAUGCACCGUUCGGCCUCAACCCUCCCCACACCCAUCCGCGUUCCACUGAGAUUUUGACCGUGCUAGAGGGUUGCCUGCACGUCGGUUUCGUGACGUCGAACCCCGAGAACAAACACUUUGAGAAGGUUCUCAACAAGGGAGAUGUGUUUGUGUUUCCUAAGGGCCUCGUUCAUUACCAGUACAACAACAGGACUACUGGUGCAGUAGCUAUUGCGGCGCUGAGCAGCCAGAACCCUGGAGUGAUCACGAUAGCCAACGCGGUGUUUGGAGCCGAGCCUUCCAUCCCGGCCGGUAUUACUACCAAGGCCUUCCAAGUGGAGAAGAGCACGGUGGAUUGGAUCCAGGCACAGUUCUAA
rnacentral:rRNA from 1 species